GGAGGCAGUGCCGGGAUGGAGGCGGUGUUGGGAUAGAGGCAGUGCCGGGACGGAGGCAGUGCCGGAUUUUCCAUGGAUCUGAGCGGGCUGGGAGGAUGUGGGACGGAGGCAGUGCCGGGUUUUCCUUGGAGCCCAGCACCGCUGAGGCAGUGCCGGGAUGGGAGGAUUUGGGAUGGCAAGGACGGAGGCAGUACCGGGUUUUCCUUGGAUCUGAGCGGGCUGGGAGGUGCUGGCACGGAGGCAGUACCGGGUUUUUCUCGAAUCCCAGCACGGCUGAGGCAGUGCCGGGAUGGAGGCAGUGCCGCGUUUUCCAUGGGGCUCAGUUGGAUGGAUGGAGGCAGUGCUGGCACGGAGGCAGUACCGGGUUUUCCUUGGAUCUGAGCGGGCUGGGAGGAUUUAGGACGGAGGCAGUACCGGGUUUUCCAUGGAUCUGAGCGGGCUGGGAGGUGCUGGCACGGAGGCAGUGCCGGGUUUUCCUUGGAUCUGAGCGGGCUGGGAGGUGCUGGCACGGAGGCAGUGCCGCGUUUUCCAUGGGGCUCAGUUGGAUGGACGGAGGCAGUACCGGGUUUUCCUUGGAUCUGAGCGGGCUGGGAGGUGCUGGCACGGAGGCAGUACCGGGUUUUCCUUGGAUCUGAGCGGGCUGGGAGGUGCUGGCACGGAGGCAGUACCGGGUUUUUCUCGGAUCCCAGCACCGCUGAGCCAGCCCCGUCUC